AUCACAGAGCCCGACGCGGGGCUCGAACUCACAAACCUCGAGAUCGCGACCUGAGCCGAAGUCAGACACUUCACCGACCGAACCACCCAGGCGCCCCAAGAAGUGAGCGACUUAGAUAUACGGCAGUGGGCUAGGACCAAAUUUCAGUAUGGCAUCUCAGACCAGCGCUCAGUAAACCUUUACUGACUUGUACUGCUCAAACAAUCGUCCUCUGAAGAAAGGGGUAAGGAUCUUAAAAACCACCCCACCUGCUUCUCUCUAUUAAACCAGAUCUGGGACUAAUCAA